GGUCAGUCUUCCCAGAGUCAUCAAACAGACCUGGACUCCAUAUUCAGUUUGCUUGAAGAGAAAAUUAUGACAUUUGUGAAGAACGAGCUGAAGAUGUUCAAGAGGAUUCUUAGUCCAGAACU